AGUAACGGCGAGUGAAGCGGCAACAGCUCAAAUUUGAAAUCUGGCGCAAGCCCGAGUUGUAAUUUGUAGAGGAUGCUUCAGGGCAGCGGCCGGUCUAAGUUCCUUGGAACAGGACGUCAUAGAGGGUGAGAAUCCCGUAUGCGACCGGUUGGCACCCGUCACGUAGCUCCUUCGACGAGUCGAGUUGUUUGGGAAUGCAGCUCUAAAUGGGAGGUAAAUUUCUUCUAAAGCUAAAUACCGGCCAGAGACCGAUAGCGCACAAGUAGAGUGAUCGAAAGAUGAAAAGCACUUUGGAAAGAGAGUUAAAAAGCACGUGAAAUUGUUGAAAGGGAAGCGCAUGCAACCAGACUUGUCGGCGGUGUUCCGCCGGUCUUUUGACCGGUCUAUUCGCCGCCGGCAGGCCAGCAUCAUCUGGGCGCGCCGGAUAAAGGCGUGGGGAAUGUAGCUCCUCGGAGUGUUAUAGCCCUGCGCACAAUACGGCGUCGCCCGGGUGAGGUCCGCGCUUCGGCUAGGAUGCUGGCGUAAUGGUUGUCUGCGGCCCGUCUUGAAACACGGACCAAGGAGUCUAACAUCUAUGCGAGUGUUCGGGUGUCAAACCCCUACGCGUAAUGAAAGUGAACGGAGGUGGGAAGCGCAAGCUGCACCAUCGACCGAUCCUGAUGUCUUCGGAUGGAUUUGAGUAAGAGCAUAGCUGUUGGGACCCGAAAGAUGGUGAACUAUGCCUGAAUAGGGUGAAGCCAGAGGAAACUCUGGUGGAGGCUCGCAGCGGUUCUGACGUGCAAAUCGAUCGUCAAAUUUGGGUAUA
rnacentral:rRNA from 1 species